rnacentral:tRNA from 1 species
GCUGGCUAGAGCGUACGGUUCAUACCCGUGAGGUCGGGGGUUCGAUCCCCUCCGCCGCUACCAAUGGACCUUUAGCU